GACGAACGCUGGCGGCGUGCCUAAUACAUGCAAGUAGAACGCAGUUGCGAACGGGUGAGUAACACGUAGGUAACUGCCUGGUAGCGGGGGAUAACUAUUGGAAACGAUAGCUAAUACCGCAUACUACCAGAUGGACCUGCGUGGUAUUAGCUAGUUGGUGAGGUAACGGCUCACCAAGGCAACGAUUCAUAGCCGACCUGAGAGGGUGAUUGGCCACACCGGGACUGAGUCAAGGCCCAGGAUCCUACGGGAGGCAGGAGGAGGGAAUCUUCGGGAAUGGGGGGAACCCUGACCGAGCAACGCCGCGUGAGUUAAGAAGGUUUUCGGAUCGGAAAGAUCUGUUGUUAAGGGAGCGGUACUUAACCAGAAAGCGACGGCUAACUACGUGCCAGCAGCCGCGGUAAUAC
rnacentral:rRNA from 1 species